UAAUGCCUACGGGAGGCAGCAGUAGGGAAUCUUCCACAAUGGGCGAAAGCCUGAUGGAGCAACGCCGCGUGGGUGAAGAAGGUCUUCGGAUCGUAAAACCCUGUUGUUAGAGAAGAAAGUGCGUGAGAGUAACUGUUCACGUUUCGACGGUAUCUAACCAGACAGCCACGGCUAACUACGUGCCAGCAGCCGCGGUAAUACGUAGGUGGCAAGCGUUAUCCGGAUUUAUUGGGCGUAAAGGGAACGCAGGCGGUCUUUUAAGUCUGAUGUGAAAGCCUACGGCUGAACCGGAGU
rnacentral:rRNA from 1 species